rnacentral:lncRNA from 1 species
AUGCUUUUUAAAUUAUUAUUUCUUCAAUUCCUAUUAAAUUAUUUGUUCACUUCACUCUGCAUUAAGACGCCCAAGUUCUACAGUCUUUACUUCUAUCAGUCCUAUAAGUCUUAUGGUAAAUAUGAAUUGCAUUGCAUGUGUGUUUUCUACCUUUGUGUUCAUAAAUCCUUUUGUCAACGCGUGUUGUGUCAGACAAACCUUGGUGAAUGUGGAAGCCUGUUCUUCCAUCAGACAGCAGCUCGGUGGGCUUUUCUGUGUCUGGAGGCAGCUGCUGAGGAAACUCUCCUUGGCAACCAGUCGUCAUGGAAAGAAUCAAGUCUGCGCUGUGAUUGGUGCCUGAAGGCGACAGAACACCCAGAAAAAGCUGCACAUGCAUGAGAAGGACAGGCAAACUCCACCCUGAAAUGGUUGGACUUGACUUCCAUGUGAGGUGAGGGCACGGUGCACCUGUCAGCGUCUGUCUGCUAAAAGGUGGCUGCCAGUUUUCGUUUGUUUCUGUGUGUAGCAGGAUGAGUUAAUUGGGCUCCCAGGUGUAGGCACUCCAGUCCUGGUGCUGCUAAUUAGCACCAGGCCACCUAUAUAGCGGGACGGAGCUGGCUUCUGCUCAUUCCUGCCUGAGACUGCCUCCCUGGGUUCCUGCGCCUGGAAGUGCAGUGCCGUGGAUGUCACCACUCCAGGGCGUACAGCCGGUGGGCUUGUGACUGGGGUGGAGGCGAAAUGGGAACGGAGCGCAUCGCUCCAGUUCCUGGUGAUAUCCCCCACUGACUGGUAUGUGUGCAAUGUGUGCCUCUUCGCCCUGCAUGUCCUCUGGUUGCAGAGGUAAUGCCCUGCUGCCUGUUUUCUGGUUUGCCUCCACAGGGUGAUUGGUGGAGCCCGCUGCUGCUGCUUUGCUUUGCUUUUAUCGUUUUUGCGGUGAUUUCUCUGUCCGGGUCCCACCCCCGCCACGACGGAACCGGUUGGAGCGAACGCCCAGCUCACGGAGACCUCUCGUUGCUGUGGCAUCUCACCGUACUGUGGACGACUCCCACCAGCUGAUCGGCGGUGGUUGGGCGGCUUACCAGCGCCCCGGAACACUAAUCAUCUUUUUAAUCUUUAUUUUUAACUGUGUGUCUUUUAUUGAUAUUGCCGAUUUUAUUCCUGUUUCAGGAGGUAGGAGGCCGAGGUGGUGGACUGCUGUGUCUGGUGGUGGGUCCCAGUGUGCUGUGUGGUUUCCCUCACGUGUGCAGUAAUUCACAAAGG